GAGUUUGAUCAUGGCUCAGAUUGAACGCUGGCGGCGUGCCUAACACAUGCAAGUCGAGCGGUAACAGGUGUAGCAAUACAUGCUGACGAGCGGCGAACGGGUGAGUAAUGCUUCGGAAUCUUCCCAGUUGUGGGGAAUAACUAGCCGAAAGGUUAGCUAAUACCGCAUACGUCCUACGGGAGAAAGCGGGGGACCUUUCGGGGCCUCGCGCUCAUGGAGCGGCCGAUGUCGGAUUAGCUAGUUGGUGGGGUAAGAGCCUACCAAGGCGACGAUCCGUAGCUGGUCUGAGAGGAUGAUCAGCCACACUGGGACUGAGACACGGCCCAGACUCCUACGGGAGGCAGCAGUGGGGGAAUUUUGGACAAUGGGGGCAACCCUGAUCCAGCCAUGCCGCGUGAGUGAAGAAGGCCUUCGGUUG
rnacentral:rRNA from 1 species